rnacentral:rRNA from 1 species
AGCGGCGCACGGGUGAGUAACGCGUAGAUGAUCUACCCUUGAGACGGAGAUACCUCUGGGAAACUGGAGUUAAUACCCGAUAACGCACAUUGGUUGGUUCCGAUGUGUUAAAGCGGUGCAAGUCGCACUUGAGGAUGAGUCUGCGGCCUAUCAGCUAGUUGGUGGGGUAACGGCCUACCAAGGCGAAGGCGGGUAGCUGAUCUGAGAGGAUGAUCAGCCACAUUGGGACUGAGACACGGCCCAAACUCCUACGGGAGGCAGCAGUAGGGAAUAUUGCGCAAUGGGG